rnacentral:SRP_RNA from 1 species
UCGCGCUAGACGGGAAAUCAGCGGUGUCCUGUAACUCGCAAUCCGCUUUAGCGAGGUUGAAUUCCCACCCGAGGGCGUCUUGUCCUUUGGUCAGGUGCGGGCCACACAGUGUUGACGGUUGGGUCCUACUCAACGGGAUGUCGGCGAACCCGGUCAGGUCCUGACGGAAGCAGCCGUAGUCGAGAGUUCCCGUGUGCUGUAGGAGCGCCUGGCCUGAGUUGGCGUGGUCCGCGGCCGUUCUGGGCCAGCGUUCGGAGGUGGGUGCGCGA